UGAGUAAUGUCUGGGAAACUGCCUGAUGGAGGGGGAUAACUGCUGGAAACGGUAGCUAAUACCGCAUAACGUCGCAAGACCAAAGAGGGGGACCUUCGGGCCUCUUGCCAUCGGAUGUGCCCAGAUGGGAUUAGCUAGUAGGUGGGGUAACGGCUCACCUAGGCGACGAUCCCUAGCUGGUCUGAGAGGAUGACCAGCCACACUGGAACUGAGACACGGUCCAG
rnacentral:rRNA from 1 species